rnacentral:rRNA from 1 species
CCUACGGGGGGCAGCAGUGGGGAAUAUUGGACAAUGGGGGAAACCCUGAUCCAGCGACGCCGCGUGAGUGAAGAAGGAUCUCGGGAUGUAAAGCUCUAUCAGCAGGGAAGAAAAUGACGGUACCUGACUAAGAAGCCCCGGCUAACUACGUGCCAGCAGCCGCGGUAAUCCGUAGUGGGCAAGCGGUAUCCGGAGUUACUGGGUGAAAAGGGAGCGUAGAGGGUGCAGAAAGUCUGAUGUGAAAGGUCGGGGCCCAACCCCGGGACUGCAUUGGAAACUGUUGAACUGGAGUACAGGAGAGGUAAGCGGCAUUCCUAUUGUAGCGGUGAAAUGCGUAGAUAUUAGGAGGAACACCAGUGGCGAAGGCGGCUUACUGGCCUGUAACUGACGUUGAGGCUCGAAAGCGUGGGGAGCAAACAGGAUUAGAUACCCCGGUAGUC